GGCCUUGCUAGUCAAAAGGUCAACCUGCCCGGUGACAAGUUGUUAAACGGCUGCAGUACUCUGACUGUGCAAAGGUAGCAAAAUCAAUUGUUCAUUAAUUGUGGACUGGAAUCAAUGGUUCGACGACAAAAAAACUGUCUUUUCUUACUAAAAUUAUAAUUUAUUGUAGAAGUGAAGAAACUUCUAUCACUAAGCGGGACGAGAAGACCCCGUUGAGCUUUAGCAAAUAAUUUUUUUUGUAUUUUUUGUUUGCUUUAGUUGGGGCAACUGUUUUUAUAGUAUAAAACAUAAACAAACAUUUGAUGAUUUAAGUCUAAAUUUGACCCUUAAUUUUGAGGUAAUAAAACAAGUUACCACGGGGAUAACAGCGUAAUUUUUUUUGAGAGUUCUUAUUGACAAAAAAGUUUGCGACCUCGAUGUUGGAUCAUAGCAUCCUGGGGGUGCAGCAGCUCCUAAGGGUGGUUGUUCAACCAUUAAAGCUAU
rnacentral:rRNA from 1 species